rnacentral:rRNA from 1 species
AGACGGAGGGGGCUAGCGUUGUUCGGAAUUACUGGGCGUAAAGCGCGCGUAGGCGGUCCGUUUAGUUAGGCGUGAAAGGCCUGGGCUCAACCCGGGAACUGCGUUUAAAACUGGCGGGCUAGAGUCCGGGAGAGGGUGGCGGAAUUCCCAGUGUAGAGGUGAAAUUCGUAGAUAUUGGGAAGAACACCAGUGGCGAAGGCGGCCACCUGGCCCGGUACUGACGCUGAGGUGCGAAAGCGUGGGGAGCAAACAGGAUUAGAAACCCCAGUAGUCC